GGAAGCAAAGGUCAGAGGGACUGGCCAUAGGCACAAGUGAAGCUUUCUUGCCAAUCUUCGUUGAACUCACACUUCAAAAGUCAUGGUUUUCUUUCUUUGUUUUAUCGUGAUUUUCUGUCUUAUUAUAAAGAAGAUCGCAGAAAAGAGGCAGAGAAGGAGAGCUGAAGGACCAAAAAAGAGUAUCUAAACAACAGAGGAUGAACACUGGAAUCUCUGGAACUCAUCCCUUCAGAGGGUCCUUCCCAGAAGAACUAUAUCUCCACUACCUCGGUUCUCUGGAAUAAAUUACAACCUUAUGAUUCAUGAGUCCAAAGAGGACAGUCUUUACAUCUAUCCAUCUUAUAACUGAUGUGGCUCUCAAGGAACAAAAAACCUAAGCAAAUUAAGGGAACAAACAUUUAUCAACCACGCAAAUGGAGCCACUCUUUGUAUGUAUUAUGCAUCUCAAUCUCUAUAUAUGGUUAUCAAUGUAAUAAUUCAAGUGAAGAGUUUUUCUACACCAGGAGUUCCAAAGUCAAGCUACAUUCAAAGAGAGAAACAACACACUGGAUACUCACGUUAUGAAGAGUCAGACAUUCCUUAUAGGAUAGAACAUGUGCAAUUGAAAUCUAACUAUUAAGUUUUCUGUGGAAAAAAACAUAUAUGUAAACUAUAUGGCCAUCUGAUCAUUUUAAAAGCAUACUCAGAAUACUUUAAGAAAACAUCAUGAGUAUGAAUUA